rnacentral:rRNA from 1 species
AAACGUAGGUGGCGAGCGUUGUCCGGAAUCACUGGGUGUAAAGGGCGUGUAGGCGGGGGUACAAGUCAGGUGUGAAAGACCACGGCUCAACCGCGGGGUUGCAUUUGAAACUGUAUCUCUUGAGUAUUGGAGAGGGAAGCGGAAUUCCUAGUGUAGCGGUGAAAUGCGUAGAGAUUAGGAGGAACACCAGUGGCGAAGGCGGCUUCCUGGCCAAAUACUGACGCUGAGGCGCGAAAGCGUGGGGAGCAAACAGGAUUAGAUACCCUGGUAGUCCACGCCGUAAACGAUGGAUACUAGGUGUAGGUGGUGACAGACCAUCUGUGCCGGAGUUAACACAAUAAGUAUCCCACCUGGGGAGUACGGCCGCAAGGCUGAA